rnacentral:rRNA from 1 species
UAGGGGGGCCACCAGGCGGGAACCCUUUCCAUGCCCGGAGAGUCGGAUAGGGGGACUCCAAGUGGGAGGGCAUACAGUCCUCGCUUUUGUACACCGUAAGGUGGUGUACGAAUAAGUGCUGGGCAAGACCGGUGCCAGCCGCCGCGGUAAUACCGGCAGCACGAGUGAUGACCGCUAUUAUUGGGCCUAAAGCGUCCGUAGCCGGCCAGGCAAGUCCAUCGGGAAAUCCGCACGCCUAACGUGCGGGCGUCCGGUGGAAACCACUUGGCUUGGGACCGGAAGACCCGGGGGGUACGUCUGGGGUAGGAGUGAAAUCCCGUAAUCCUGGACGGACCGCCGGUGGCGAAAGCGCCUUGGGAAGACGGAUCCGACGGUGAGGGACGAAAGCUAGGGUCACGAACCGGAUUAGAUACCCGGGUAGUCCUAGCCGUAAACGAUGUUUGCUAGGUGUGGCGCGGGCUACGAGCCAGCGCUGUGCCGUAGGGAAGCCGAGAAGCAGACCGCCUGGGAAGUACGUCUGCAAGGAUGAAACUUAAAGGAAUUGGCGGGGGAGCAC